GUCACAUAGGGUGAAAUGAAGAAAUAUAUAGAAUAUGAAAAGAGAAUCGGAUUCUAUUUGUACUGUAUCUGAGAUGAAUCUUGGCCAUUCCCGCCUUGAAACUCCCCUUAGACUAGACUUUUGGGUCUUAUAAGCAACUAAUUGAAACUUUCAAAUAUGUAUCAAAUCUUAAUUGAACGCCAGGAGACAGAGUAUGAACAAAUAAAAAAGAAGAGGAAAGAAAAGAAUUUGCUUUUACAUAUCUAUAUACAUCCCUUACAUAUUUCUAUAAAUAUCCUCUUUAUCUUUCCUUGUCUAUUUUAUACGAGUCAAAAAUAUAUAUAGUUUGGAACAAGGGUAGAUUUCCAGACAUCAUGAUGUAUCCUUGAAUGAUCUAUAUUAUUAAUGAAUCCGUAGAAUAGAUACUCAUACAAAUUCAUGAUGUGCCAAGAACCAGAUUUGAACUGGUGACACGAGGAUUUUCAGUCCUCUGCUCUACCAACUGAGCUAUCCCGGCCAUUUCCGACAAAUUCUCCUUCUUUUCAUCGAUUUGGUCUAUUAAGAAGAAAGAGAUAAAAGGCGCAAUUCAAUAUGCGUUGCGAAAAAGAAGGACGCAGAUGCGCAAAGAAUAGAAUAUGGAUAGUCCUUCGGACUGGCACAAAAGUCAAGAAAAGAAGAAUGAACUCAUUAACGAUAAUGAAAGAAGAAAAAAAUGGGAAUUCAAGAAGAAUUAUGAAUCUGCUAGAUUUCAGACAUCUUUGUGCUAGAUUUCAGACAUCUUUGCUUAAUGAAGACGGAGUGAAUUCCAUGAUUUUGCUAGGUUUUGGGCCUAUAAAGUAGCAAGAAAAGACAAAAAAUCAGUCAAAAUUGAUCUAUUUUCGUUAGAUAAGAAAAGUCGAAAAAGUCCUAUUUAGAAGCAAAAAAGCCGGGAAAUUGCAACUGGUCCAUUAGAAAAAUCUAGGGAAAAUCAAUGAACAGAGUUUUCUUAUGGUUUCUGGUCCGGAUACUGACGGGUCUAUUCUUGAUUCCGCUCCUGAAUAUGGAUAGUCCUACUUCGGUUAAUUACGGAUGGUCCUACGGAUAAAUCCUCCGGACUACUUCCCUCCAUAUGGAUGGUCCUACUUCCAUAUGGAUAGUCCUACGGAUAAGAAUCCUCCGGACUCCGGACUACGGAUAAAUCCUGCGGACUGCGGACGUAGGACUACUUCCCUCCAUAUGGAUGGUCCUACUUCCAUAUGGAUAGUCCUACGGAUAAGAAUCCUCCGGACUCCGGACUACGGAUAAAUCCUGCGGACUGCUUCGGUUAAUUACGGAUGGUCCUACGGAUAAAUCCUCCGGACUACUUCCAUAUGGAUAGUCCUACGGAUAAGAAUCCUCCGGACUCCGGACCCUGGACCUUUCUUUGGCACUGCGGACGGCUCAAAGAAUAUUGAAUGAAUGCGUUCCGAAAAAAAAGUCUUAUGGAACUGAAACCUCCGCUAGGCUCAAAGAAGAUUUCUCAAAAGUAUUCCACUAAAAUACACCCCUGCUGCGUAGGAGGCUCCAAGCUAAUAUGUCCUUAUCAAUGAGACGUCCGGAGGCGCAAUGAAAUAUGCGAGGUCCAGCCCACGGAGCUUUCAUUACGUUGAUGAACUCAAUGAAUUCAGCCUUAAGAGUCUAGUCAAUAUUCUUUGAACCUCCCUCAAAGUAAUAGCUAUAAAUAGUCCUCGAAAAAAAUAUGAUGAAAUCAAUAUCCCUGUCUUAUGGAGCGUCCUCCGGCUUGACUCGGAAGAAAUGUAAAUGUAAGAAAGCCGCUCCUGGGUGGCCUAGCCCUCUCUGACCUGUAUUUCUGCAUCAAUAGGAGCUUCUAAUUCAUAUGAGGUAAGUUGUCUUCCACUUAGAAUUGAAAAGGGAAUCCCGUCGACGAACUAGUCUGAGCAUUGAAAGAGAAUUGAGCCAGCCAGCUGGACCCAAUUCUGAUGUCUUGCAUCAAGAAGCAGAUACUCGCAUACAAUUUCAUCGUUCUGUCUGGCCAUCAGUCUGAGGAUGGUAGCUUGAGGAUAUAUUCAGACUUGUCCAAGGUAAAUAAUUCUGUCCAGAAGGUAGCAAUGAAUCUCCCAUCUCUCUCGCUCACAAUACUCGUCGGGACGAGAUGCCUAAAGAAGAAGAGUGCUGUCAACUCGGCGGAAGACUGCUUGGUAGUGGGGAUGAAGGUGGCGUACUUCGAGAACCGGUCAAUGAUAAGCAAGAUGGCCUCAAGAUCGCCCACUUUUUGGAGAUGUGUAAUUCAGUCCAUGGAUACGCUCUCCCAUGGUCUUGUCGGAACAGGCAAGGGUUCUCGAAGCCCAGCAACUUUUGCUUUCUCGAUUUUGUCCUGUUGGCAGAUGAGGCAUGUCUUUGUAUACUGCAUGACGUCGUCUCUCAUAUUGGGCCAGAAGUAGCCCUUUUUCAGCAAAGCGUACGUCCUCUGCCAUCCAGGGUGGCCAGCCCACAGAGUGUCGUGACACUCGUGUAAUAAUCUCUUCCUUAUGUCCCCUGCUCUAGGCACAUACAGCCGAUUUCCUCUGGUUACUAAUAGGUCAUCUUCAACCCAAAACAGUCUUGUCUUACCAGCCUUAGCUAAGUUCAUGACUGUCUGAGCGGCGGGAUCUUUCUGCAAGAAUUCUCUCAAGACAUCACGCAUUGAGCCAUCGAUCUUACUCGUCUGAAGGUGAGCUAAGAUGCACAGGGCCGCAUCUUCGCUUUUCCGGCUCAGGGCAUCAGCUGCCCGCUUACUCGAUCCCUUCUUAUGUUCAAACUCUCAAUCAAACUCGGCCAGUCCUGCCACCUUGCUUGCUUCGAAGUCAAUUUCGGCUGAGUAAAGAAGUGGCAUGUAGCACUGUUGUCUGUCUUCACAACAAAUGUCGAACCCAGUAAAUACUGUCUCCAGGCCCUCAGGCAAUGUACCACUGCCAACAUUUCUUUUUCAGACACAGUAUAUCUCUUUUCUGCUGCAUUUAGUUUUCGGCUUUCGUAUGCGAUGGGGUGUCCAUUCUGCAGGAGAACACCGCCCAACGCAUAAUCAGACGCAUCGGUCUCAACUUCAAAAGGUUUUGUCACAUCAGCGAUCCCCAUCCCCAGAACUGGCCCUUCAAUCAUGGCUUGUUUCAGACCAUCGAAGGCGGCCUGAGAUUCGGGGGUCCAACUCCAUUGGAUGUCCUUCUUCAACAACUCCGUCAAUGGACUUGCCCUUUUUUUGAGAAUCCUUCCACGAAUCGCCUGUAGUAAUUAGCUAAUCCGAGAAAGGAAGGUAAUUCGGUGACUGACUUUGGUAUUCCCCAAUCACGUAUUGCAGCAAUCUUCCCUUCUUCCAUACCAAUUCGGCCACACUCUAUCACAUGACCCAGAAAAUUGAUCCGCUCUUGCGCAAAGGAGCAUUUUUCUCUCUUGACAUACAGCUGGUUUUCCUUCUGUUUCUGAAAAACCCUUUGAAGGUGGUCCUUGUGUUCUUCCAUUGUGGAGCUAUAAACCACUAUAUCAUCUAGGUAGACCACGACAAACUUGUCAAGGUAUUCAUUCAUUCAAGACCUGGUUCAUUAAUGUACAAAAGGUUGCAGGAGCGUUGGUAAGGCCAAAUGGCAUUACGAGGAAUUCGAAGGCUCCGUAUCUUGUGACACAGGUCGUCUUGGGCUCAUCUCCCUCUGCAAUUCAGACUUGAUAAUAUCCCGAUCCGCAAGUCUAGCUUCGAGAAAGAUUUCGCCCCGGUCAAAGAGGUCAGUGAUUAUGGGAAGUGGAUAUUUGUUGCGAAUCGUGAGCUUGUUCAAGGCACGGUAGUCAAUACACAACCGUAGACUUCCAUCCUUCUUCUUUUCUUCUGGAAAAGGACUGGGGCCCCAUACGGAGCUUUUGCAGGUCUAAUAAAUCCUGCACUCAAUAACUCAUCCAACUGUUUCCGAAGUUCAGCUAACUCCGGUGGCCCCAUACGAUAGGCAUUCUUCGCAGGGGGUUUUGCCCCUGGUAGUAAUUCGAUCUCAUGAUCAAUCAUUCUUCGCGGUGGCAGAGAUUUGGGCAAACUGUCGGGCAUCACGUCACUGUACUUCUCUAAGACACACAGAAUGUCUUUGGGGACUGUCUCCCCCGGGUUUUCCAACGACUCGAGCGGGAUAUAAAUCUUGGUUCAUCUCGAGCGAGGCCCUUCUGAAAUUGCAUGGCCGAAAUCAUUUUGAACCCCUUAGGCUGGCGAAUGUCUGUCUGUACAACGGUGGGGGCAGAUCCAGUGAUCACUAGACAUUUAGCUAAAGGCAUUGGUAUCACCUGAUGUUCAGUUCAAGCAGAAAUUCCCAUUCCCAGUACCACAUCGAAGUCAUCCAUUUUGACAACCACAAAAUCUACGGGGCCGCUCCAUCCUCCCAACUUUAUCAUCGUUCGUUUCACUAGUCCGACGAUAGGUAAGGCAGCAGAAUUCACGGCCUUCAUUUUUCCUGUAUCCUUCUCCCAACGGAGACUUAGUCGUUUGGCUUCUGCCUCUGUUAUUCAAUUGUGAGUUGCACCGGAAUCAACCAUAGUGCUCUUGGACGGUUUCUGCUUGAUCCAGGUGUCAACAUACAUUAGCCCCCUUUCUACCGGCGCAUUUGUCUCCCCUACCUUCUUCUAGAGAGACGAUAAGAAUUUCAAGGCCCCCCAAAAAAAUGCUUUUUUCCUCUGUCUGGCCAACUUCACCUUCUGCUUGACUCGACUUAUCAUCUGAAUCUGAGGUCAAAGAGGCCUGAAAGGCAUUGAAGGCGGUUCGAUUUGGACAUUCUCUUGCCAGAUGAGAUGUGGUCCCUUACAUAUUCAAGAACUGAGAGGACGAUUGUAUGAGUUCUGAUUAUUUGGUCCUCGCCAUGUGUUCCCCGUAUUUGUUUGGAAGGGCUUGCGGUCUCCGCUAGGCCGUUUGUCUCCCCCAGCUGCUUUGGGGGAAGUGGGGCGGUUACUCUUGUUUCCUCCAGAUGAGGAAUUUUGGUUACGUCUCACGUCUUGGGAGUCGUUAGACAGAUCAAAGAAUCGUUCGGCCGCUGCGUAUGCUGACGUGAGGUCUUGGACCCUUUGUUCAUAUAACUUUGUCUUUGCCCACGGUUUCAGGCCUUCGACAAAACAGAAAACUUUGUCUUUCUCUGACAUAUCACGUAUGUCUAACAUCAGCCCCGCAAACAGCUUCACAUACUCCCGAAUAUUGCCCGUAUGUUUUAGUUCACGCAAUUUCCGCCGAGCCUGAAUUUCAAGAUUCUCGGGGAAAAACUGCGAGCGGAGUUCUUUCUUCAAACUGUCCCAAGUGUCUAUUGUGCAACGCCCUUCUUGAAUGUCGACGUAACGGGAUCUCCACCAUCACUUUGCAUCCUCAGCCAGAUGCAUAGUUGCCAGCCUCACUUUGGCUUCUUCUGUGACUGUGUUUGUGGCCUUGAAGUAUUGCUCGAGGUCAAAGAUUCAAUUCUCCCAACAAAUCUUCGUUCUUAGUUAUUUUCUUCCUAGGCUUUUAGUGGUCCGAAGGCUCGACUGAAAGGAGUCCAAGAUUCAAGCUUCAUCAAUGAACAAAGGUUGAGACAGGAGCGCACUAAUGAAAUAGCGAGACUAAAAACUGAAAGAAAAAGAAAGCUUAAUAAGGGUUGAAUCAGGGACUGUUCAGGAGCAAAGAAUUUGCGAAGGCGCGAAGCGACUGUUAAGGAGUCCGUAAGGACUCAGAAAUCGUUGAAUGAAUGAGUCCUUCGCUUUCAGAGUCCUAACCUUUGUAUCCUCAUUUCUAAGGACUGAAUUCAUGUGUUAAGCAAAUUCUCUGAGAUCCUUUUUUCCUUUCUGGCUAUUUCUCGGCUUUUUUCUUGCUAAAUGUGACUUUUUCUCAUCUUUCUAUUUAAUGAAAAUAGAGAAAAAAUGACUGAUUUUUUCUCUUUUCUUGCUACUUCCCUAUGGGCAAAACCUUGCAAAAUCUUGUAUUUCCCUCCCCAUAUUAAGCAAAGAUGUCUGAAAUCUCCCAUAUUCACCUCUUUCUUUUUCAUUCCCAUUUUUUUCUUCUUUCAUUAUCGUUAAUGAGUUCAUUCUUUCUCUCAACUCCUCUUGAGAUAAUUCUUUGAGCCUUCCUGAUGGAUAGUCCUUCGGACCUGUCUUAUGGAACCUCUCCGUCGAGCCGCUUUCGCUCCUCCCAAAUAUAUAUGAUGAAUACUCGUUCGAAAGAAUAUUGAACUUGAUUUUCACUCCUUCUACGGGGUCCUCCGGACUAUGAAUCAUAUUUUCGAGAACAAGGCUCGACUGAAAGGAGAGGAGACUUCUCCUCCAUUUAAAGGAAUCAAACUCCACAGCAAAAAUGCGGUUUCUGACUCAGAUGGACAUUCUUUCUUUUCUGGACCGCGGAAGAAGACGGAGAAUCGAUGAAUAGGCGACUAGCGAAGCGAAGCCACGUAUCAAUGUAGAAAAGGGGAAGAAGAAAGAAGAAGAAUUUGCUCUUUGUCUGAUGAGAUCUGAACCUAAAAUAGUCCGGAGGCAGAAAGCGAAAGGCUAAAGGUUAGAAUAGGAUAGAGGUGCGAAUAUCUCUUCGUAUUAGUUCUUUCGGAACAGAGCAAAGAAUUAGCGAAGAGGAUCCCGAACUUCCUUCCCUCAAGAGGGACAAAGUCAGGAGUGAUGAAAGUAGAGAGAGGUAUCGGGUAUGGUAUCAUAUCUAUCCAGUUAUUCAGUAAUUUCAUAAGACUUUCGUCAGCCCCUCUUUCAGACAGGGAAUGAGAAGGAGAGUACGAGUCAGAAGUCUAAGUGCUUCCAUUCUUCCAUUAUUGAAAGAGGUCGGAAGUCGAGCUUUCUCUUUCAUAAGUAGGGUCAAGAUCUAACCAUCAGAUAAAGGCUAGGAAAGCUUUUCUGAAUAAGGCAUGAGAAGUAGUAAUGAAAGAAGUCAGGAUGAAAUGAAAGGGGCUUGCUUUCACGAAGAGGGCUAGUUAUUAGUCUCGGAAUCGGAAGAUAAAGAAAGGGAAUGAGAAAAGGUGCUAAGCCGCUCCACUUAAGUGGAUCCAUACUUCAGACAGGAAAGAAGAUAGACAUAGUGCUUGUCCAAUGAGAGACUACUACUAGGUGCAAAGAAUAUUGCUCAAGAAGUCCACCUUAUUUUCAGUUCACCAAAUAGAAUUCGAGGCGGAGGCGCAAAGAAUAUUGCGUGAUCGAAGCGUAUUUAUCAAAGAAUUAUCGAAGAUAAUCAGUCCCGCUUUUUUAGUGGAAUUCUACGGUCGGAUCAGAGAUCCCUAGGUCCUUACGAAGCUCUUUCUCGUCUGACUUAAGAGAACCUUUGGUCGAGCUCAGUCUUCGAUUUUCUUUGGCUUAUUUUCAAGAGACAGAUUUUUCAUGAUUUCUUGCUCUGAGCCAAAAGUGAAAAAUGACUAUUCUCUUUAUUCAGUAGAAAGAGAAAUUGAAAGAACUUAUUCUUUGCGAAAGCAACUUCUUCUUAGAGAAAGGAAUAAGACGAUAAGACGAUUCGGAGCACCCCCAGUUCGUGCUUUACACCAAAAAGUAGAAAAGGAACUCCUUACGGAAAAAGGCUUUUUCACAGAACCCACUACGCGGUGAGGACCUCUUUUUCACUAUACUCACCUGAACCGGGGGAAGAUGUCAAAAAGUCACUAUGAAUAAUGGCACUUUGCACCGCACAUAUAUGGAUAUAGGGGGAUCAGCCCAUUUCAUUCAUCUCAUUUCUUAGUGGGAAUGUCUUUUUUAUGACUAGGCAAGAUGGCAGGAAGAAAACUCUGUUGCGACUAAGAAUGAGUUAGGUUAUCAGCCGCUAUCCAGAAAGAGAUGAAAAACUAAGUGAAACUCUCCCGUUAUUCCGUAUCUCUUGUUCCAGAAAAGAAAGGGCAUGAUCCGUUGAGGCAUCGGGGCAGGUGUGAAUAAGCCGAGUUGGAGAUCUUUCUCUUUCAUUAUCUCUUGAGUACGAAAGGGUGCGGUUCGCGGAAGUACUAUAUCUCAUCGAGUCAAAUCAAUUUUCACUAUCUGAAUUUCAUAGAAUCCCAAUUGGUACGGCGCGCUUAGAUCUCUUGAGUAGGGCCUCCGUACUGCUUACUGCUGGAUUGAUUGACUGAAAGAUCUUCCCCUUCUCUGAAGGUAGGCAGUGAUUCCAAAACAAGGAAAAGGCACUCGCUCGCUUACCAACGAUCGCGCUAGGAAGAAGACAAGGUUGGCGGGAGGGUGUACAAUAAGGCCUUUCCUUUCGAAAAAAGGGGUUGAAUUCAUCCAUGGGCGAAUGAGAUGGUGGCCUAUUUAUCCUUUUCUUUACAUAAAGAACCUUCUUUAUCCCAGCCCGGAGAAGGCUCGAUGGCGGAUAUUCCGAUAUAAUCAGAUAAGAAGUGAGGUAGUCUUCCAAAAGACUUUUUUUCACUGAACUUCAGAAGACAAAUACCGGAAGGAGAGAUAGGAUCCGGCUUCCCCGCUCCUCUUAUCUGAAUUUUCCGAAAGAGAGACUCAUCGGCUGGAGCUUUCUUUUUUUAUGGAUUCGUCGGACCCUCCUACUGACUGGCUUCCCCGAUCGUACUCCCAUCUAAUUCCUCUGUCUACUCAUUUCUUUGAGACUCGGAUUCAACGGAGAAUGCUACCGCUCCGUGGGGACUACGGAUGGAGAUCCAUUCAGUGGAAUAAAUCAGUCCGACGUAAAGAAGCUCCGCGGACUUUGCGCUCUUCUGAACUUAUAUAAAGUCGCUUCGCUUCGCUUUCGGUAAGUAGGUUUAAGUCCUAUGAAAUUCUUAGUACUUCAGAAAGAGAAGAAGAAGAAAGCCGGAGGUCGGGAUAGACUUAUGAAAGAGAAAGAUCUCGAUUCCUCUAUGGUCUCGCUACUUUCUUCCUAUUCGGACACAUAACUUCCUUCUUCAAGAUCUCAUUCUAACUGAACCUAUUCAAGGGAUUCCUGCCGAACUCUCAGCUCAGACCCACUCCGCGGUCAAGAUCUCAGGAUUCUGCUUUGUCAACCGCUUUCUCUCAAAUUUCAUUGAUCCUAACUACGGCGACGCAAUAUUCUUUGCACCUCUCCUCCAUCUCAGUCGAGCCCAUGGAGACGCUACGAAGGAGUCGUUUUCUACCUUUCAAUUACCUUCCGAUCCGACUCAUGAAACUGGGAAUGAUGACUCCUACUCUGCCUCUGACUCAACGGGGCCCCUUUCCUGUGCUGGGCCCUCUUCGGAAAGAGAGACCUAUGACUCGUCUUCUCAGGAAAGCAUAGUAUCCCCUUCCACUCAAGAAUCGGGAAGGCCCUUGAACUCCUAACCCUACCCCCGGACCCUUUACUCGACGUUCUUGCCUACGAUUUCCGCUCGAGCAGCUUCUUACUCUUUCCCUACUGACUCCCCGGAAAGAAGCAGAGUUAGCUCCGACCCUUGCUUCCUAACCUAGGCGGUCAACCUAUUCAGACUGAAAAAAAUGAUGAAAUGGGAAAACUGAGCUCCGAUCCUGGGCCUCGCCUCUCUUUCCUCCUGACUCAUGGAGUUACUGUAGAAACCUAUGAUUCUCACAAUGAAAGCAUAAGACCUAUCAGAUAGUUCGCGCUUCGCUCAUCAGAUACUCUAUAUAGAUAGUUCGUCCCCUUUCUGACUCAACUGGGACUACUUCCUUUCCUGGGCUGGGCCCCCUUCUCCUACUUCUUAGUUCAUGGAAGCGGCUAGGCUAGUCCUACUCACUGAUUCUGAAAUGGAAAAAGGGGAGAAGAUAAGAAAAGAGCUUUAAGGGAACUGAUGGAUAGUCCGGAGGACCACUACGCGGGAAGAAAGAAUAUCCUUAGCUGCCGUGAGAAAGAAAAGCAUAUUCAAUAAAGAAAAGCUCUCUUUACUUAAUGAAAAGUUAUUAUAUCUUUGCAUUCGCAGAUUUCAGUCAUAAAAUCAAUCAAUGAACAAGUCCGAAGGUUCAAAGUCGCAUAUUGAAUUGCGCCUCCGUCCUACGUGCCAAAGAAAGGUCCAGGGUCCGGAGGAUUUAUCCGUAGGACUAUCCAUUAGAAGCAGUCCGCAGGAUUUAUCCUACGUCCGGAGUCCGGAGUCCGCAGGAUUUAUCCGUAGGACUAUCCAUUAGAAGUAGUCCGGAGGAUUUAUCCGUAGGACCAUCCGUAAUUAACCGAAGUAGGACCAUCCAUAUGGAGGGAAGGAGGACUAUCCAUAUGGAAGUAGGACUAUCCGUAAUUAACCGAAGGAGGACUAUGAACCAUAUAGCCUUUACCCACGUAGCGGUGUGACUUUAGCUCUCUCUCCCCUGUCGGCUUGAGAAAGAGUAACUAAAAUGAACCUUCUAAGAUUCCUUCCGUAACCAAGUAAAGACAUGUCUUUCCUUACUUUUGCAGAAAGGAGAAAUUCAAAUGAUCAGAUAGGAAGCAAUAGUACGUACCUCCGGCAGGACCUAGAAAAGUACCCCUCGGUGAGCUCUGCGUAACCUAGAAAGAUCCGGAAACCUUUAAGCUAACUAAUACCUUUAGACAACCUAUCAAGAACCCGCAAGAAAUAACCCGAAGGUGAGCUCUGCGCUUUUCGGUUUGGAAGCUCCCUUCAAGGGGCGGAGCGGAGCCAUCCCUCAUGACGCGGCAAAGAGGGGAAGUUCAGUACAUAAAAGUUCAAAAGUCAGCCUAAGAGUAGCUCUUCCUCUGUCUUAUCUCCCUCUCUCCCUAGUAGUCGGUAGCAUCUACCGGCUCUUCCGGGUUUGAAGGAUGUCUUAUAUGGCUCCGCUCCUUGAAGGGAGUGUAGGUUUGGGGCUUCCUUCCUACCAAGCCAAUCAGCCAAGAAUUCUGUCUUCCUCUUCGUAUAUCGGAAAAAAGUCGUCCGUAGGACGUACCAUCCGUCGGCCUUGUUCAAGGCUUAGGCCUAAGUCAAAGACGCCUCUUUCUUUCUCUAUUCAAAAAGUAGGGAGCUCUUUCCCAUCAUUCCGCUUUUGGGUUAUUGAGAGAAAGUGCAUACAUAGAAGAGUCAACUUCCUAAAGACCCAAUCUCGAAAUUCAAUCUAAACGUGAUAAAACCUCCGAAACCGCUCCGUGGGCCUGGCGACAGGAUAAUCCGGACCUCCUUCUCACUCAAAUGCGGGUAAGAGUCUUAUCUGUAUUUAUUUAUUUAAUGCCAUAAAGAAGUGGCUUUCUUUUAAGGAAUGAAGAAAGAAGGCAGGCAAUUGAUCCUUUUUUCCUUUCAAACUCAGCUCUUUCUCGUCCGUGAGAGAGUUUAUAGACCGAGAAAAGAUCUUUUUUGACUGAUUUUUCAUUCUUUCUUGCUGCAUUAUUAUAUGAGCCAAAAGCGAAAAAUGACUAUUGGAUCGGACGAGGUCAAAAGUGCAAAAUGACUAUUCUCUUUCGCUAAUACCUUCAAAAUACUGAAGAAAGUUACCCACUACGCGGUAGAUUUCAGAGUCCCAACAAGAAGUUUCAGUUCCAUAAAAGAGUCAGUCCAAAGGACGGGUUCAAGCCUUCUUGGAUAAGUCUCAGACAGCAUUUGAAGAUCGGGACCGCUACGUGGGCACCCCCACACAUCCGUACUAACCCGCUUAGCUCAGAGUCAGUUCGGCGGGAGGUCUCGGGGAAUCUUUCUAUCCUUUAGAGGAAGCUGCCUGCCUGCUUCGUAUUCUAAGUUGCAGAAGAGUCAGUAGCUGUCUCACUUCUUCAAUCUCCAUCUUUCUAUCCCGUAAGCGAGAGGAAGCCCAGAGACCGGGGAGGGUCCGAAGCCUCAUCCAGUUCGUAGGACGCUGCCGUUGCUGCUUUACCGAGUGAAGGAGGUGCGGUUCUUUCCCGAGGGAGAGUCAUAAGACUCGAGAAAAAAAAGAAGAUUUGGAAACUUUAAGGAAGGAAAGCCUACCAUAAAGAAAAAGCAGGAAGAUGAAGUUCAUAUUCCAUAAAUCAGUCCAAAGGACGGGUAGAGAAUGAGUGAAGAAGUCCCCUAGUAGAGUAGAUAUGGAGGGAAGGAGCUUAGUUUCAUAAGUGGCUCUUUCUGUAUCGGCUGAUGUCUGGUCGCAUCAAUCAGCUCGCUUGGGAUCUUAGGGCUCCCCUGAAACCCUGCUCUGGGGAUUCAAAGAAGAAGAGCAGGUCGAAGAAGAUUAAGAUAAGAGGAAAGGGUAGGAGCGGAAGACGGAGCGGUAGGGGAUUUCUACCACUGCAACCGCUACGUGGGCUUCUCAUCCUAACUUAAGUGGAAUAAAUCAGUCCUUCGGACUCUCAAAGUACUAUUUUCUCUAAAUAUGCUCUAAUUCUUAUUCAAUGGCUCUUCAAUCUAUUGAUUUGACUGCUAAUUCCCGGCAGCAAACCCUGUCCCCUUGGAUGCGCGCAAACCCGGUAGGAAAAGGCGAUGCAUACUAUUUGACUCGGGCUUGUUUUCAUUGCAUUUCCCCCGUAUUUCUGAACUCUCAAAGGGUUCUUAGACCAGAGUAGAUGCGCCGUAGCAGAGGAGAAAGGUGAGAGUGAGUUACGAGGCCUGGUGGCGGCGGUAGCAUAAGUUCUUGCUUCAGUUGCUUAGCCCACUCCGCGCAGUCCGAAUGGAAGAAAAGGCAUUGGCCGUCGGCCUGGCUUAUUUCUCAAAUUUGAGCUGAACUUUUCAUUGACUUCUUUCGACCAGAGUGAAAACUUUUCUACCCACUCCGCGGUCACGAACCUCACGACCAAGAGAAAGAUCUCAGGCUGAAACGGGGACAACUACUUCGCCCACUUAUGAAAGAUCAGACUCCCUCUUGCCCCAGGGGGAGGCAGGCACAUUGGAGUGGUUCGGAUCAAUAUGGAAUAUUUCAUUAUUUCCCCACGCCCCACCAUUUUUCACACUUGAAAAGAUUGAAUUUUCCCGGCGGUCGGACCACACUUCUUGAGCUACGAGGUUCUUGAGUUCAGUCGCCCUGAUCUUGUAGCAUCCCUUGAAGUUUCUCUCGUUGAAGUAGCCGUAGUUCUCGCAGAGGCUUAUCUUGAAGACAAGUUGAAAGAAGUCCACGUAGCGUUAAUGCACUCAAUUCACGAGAAUCUCUAUAAUGAUCAAAGAUUUUCCAUCUCCAAACUGACUAAAAAAAAGAGUAAACUCCACACGAGGCCGACGAAGGACCCAAGACAGAUUCAAACUUGAAGGCAGUGCCCGAAUUAGCUUUUGAGGACGCUCUUGUCCCGAAAAUCUUCUUUGAACCUCGUCACAGUUCUUCUUUAAGAAGUGGCAGAUUCAGAAGCUCUUGCUUAGUUUCGCCAAAUGGAGAUUGGACCUCUAACUAACAAGGAUAGAAGGAGCGAGACCGUCCUCCGGACUCAUGAAUUAAUAUGUUCGGGAGGCUCAAAGAAUUAUCGAAGAAAGAAUUUGAGGUCCUAGAAAUCGAUUAUUUUGACACCAUUGAAUUUCUGAUUUCAGAGUCAGGUCCAGAUGAAAAAUAGCAUUUUACCGGGAGCCAUAUUUUCUUCUUAUAGAGUGAACGAGGUCUUAAUACGGGACGCAUACUUCACUCUUAUUCCGGUAGAAGUUCAGUGAUUCAACGUGGUCUCAUUCCCCGGUAAAAUCACCAUGCAAACUGGGGUCUUUCUCCCUCAUCCAGCGAGUAGGACGCCUAAGAAAGGGGUAUUAUCUCUUCUGAGAUCGGUCCGCGGAGGCGCAAAGAAUAUUGCGAUGCGAUUGAGAUUCCAAAAAGUAGCUAUUACUUUGAGAGGUCGUCGCCCUUGCAGAAGUAGGAGGAGCAGUCUUCCGUCGCCCACCUAGCGUGGAAGGGUAGCAGUUGAGAAAGAGAGUAUAUGAUAGAAUAGAGUCUUCGUCUUCGAUCGAUCGGAUCGCUCCUUAUAAGGCGGGCCUACAACUUUCUUUAUCCCAUUUCUGACUCGUCUUAGUCGAUGCGAUCUUUACUUAUUUCACGAACAUUUCAACCCACAAUAUCCCCUGUCCGCAAUAUUCUUUGCACCUCCUUCACAGGAAAACUAGAAAAAGAGCAAGGCGCAAAGAAUUUGCGGGAUCCUUCCCAGCUCGUCGAGCAGCGUCUUUGCUUUGACCCGCAGUAAACAUAUGUCAUAAAGAGCCUGAAAUACGGGGAAAAUGGAAUGAAUUCACGUCUUUGAUUGUCAUGAAAUCAUUCUCCAUCUCUCUCCUCCAUCUGAAUGGGACUGAAGAAGAAGGUUCCGCUCUCAAGAGAAAAGGAAGGAUAAGCGAUCGGAGACCUAGGCUACUGGAUCGGUUUUCCGGGAACACAGAAGGUUAGGAAGCCCGGUAAGACCCCGGAAGAGGAAAAAGAAAGUAUGGGAUAGGAGCUAGGGACCCGAUCCGAAGCUCAGAGGCGGAGGAAGUUGAAGGAUCUCCAUCCGAGCCCACGGAGCGCUUUUCAAUCUUCUUUGAACGACUGGUCGCUGAAAGAGAAGUCGUAGUUCGAUCAGCGUGACCACUCUCUUUAUCUCUUAGUCAAAAGAAUUCCACUUCCACGUUCUCCUUCAACCGGAGGAAAAUGUACUGAGAGAUUGAAGGUAUUAAUUGCAGGAGGUCUUGUAGUUAACGAACUCUUCUUCUAAACCGGGAAGGGGUCGGACAUCAGACACCAGGAAAUUCACCAACCCUUGUUCAGUCAAAGCGUCGGUCGGCAUGGGAAGAUCAGCCCACCUAGGGAAUGAGGUCUUUCUGAUUAUUCAUUAAUAAUGAGAAGAUGAAAUACGGGAUUCAUAGGACAAAGAAAGUCAAAGGGUCGGCGAAGACAAAGGCCCCACCAACCAGUGUGAGAGCCAAAGAGGAGGCAGGCAGAUAGGGAAGGAUUGGAUCUCAACGGCUUACCCAAUGCUGCUAAGCCCUCGACCAGAGACUGAUAUGUGCUUGAUUUCAUUCUUCUCAUAACGGAAGGAUCCCUGCCUCGUGCGCCCUAUCUCUUCUUAUGUAUUCCUCGAGUUUUCUCUCUUUCGAGAAAUACGAUGUUAGUCCUUUCACUACGUAAAGUGCAGAUAUGAGGACCCUCCAAAAUAAUUGAACCGAAGGUGAAAAGAAUAUUGACGAGACUUCCAGGCUGCGAGAAGGACUAUCCAUUAGAGAAUUUGACUUUGGAGGUGCAAAGAUCUAUGGCCUAAUUAUAAGGGGUCCAGAUUACUAUCCAUUAGGGAAUUUGAGAUCAUCUGGACCUUUUUCAAACUACCGAGAAAUUGAGAAUGAGUUCUUCUUCAAUGUAGAUAGAGAAGGAUAAUUAUUACAUUUCGAAAUAGAGAAUGAGAUAAGGAAGAUUUUUUUCUUUCUUCGUUAAUGCAUUGAUGAAAUGGGAAUCAUCUCUAUUAUUUCAUGCCAUUGAUUUCAUUCAUUCUUCACUGACUAUGAUAGUGCAACGACGAAUCGCAUCUUUUCUUUCAUGCUUUGUUCAUGAUUUCAUUGGGUGGGAAUCUGAUAGUUCAUGCUUUCCGAAUGCUUACUGAAUCUUGAGUUCAUUCAUUCAUUCUUUGUUCGUCAGUUCUGAAUUCUGCUUUGAAUUGGACGUGAAUUUCUGGAACGAUAGCUCCGAAGAAGAAGAUCGGCGAAGGGAAAGCAAUCGAGACGAGGCGCCUUAUCACGGGUAGGCAGACUAAACCUCUUUCUCGUGAACUUUCUAGAAUAGAAGACAAA
rnacentral:lncRNA from 1 species